rnacentral:rRNA from 1 species
GCGACGCCGCGUGAGGGAUGACGGCCUUCGGGUUGUAAACCUCUUUCAGCAGGGACGAAGCGCAAGUGACGGUACCUGUAGAAGAAGGACCGGCCAACUACGUGCCAGCAGCCGCGGUAAUACGUAGGGUCCGAGCGUUGUCCGGAAUUACUGGGCGUAAAGAGCUCGUAGGUGGUUUGUCGCGUUGUUCGUGAAAACUCACAGCUUAACUGUGGGCGUGCGGGCGAUACGGGCAGACUUGAGUACUGCAGGGGAGACUGGAAUUCCUGGUGUAGCGGUGGAAUGCGCAGAUAUCAGGAGGAACACCGGUGGCGAAGGCGGGUCUCUGGGCAGUAACUGACGCUGAGGAGCGAAAGCGUGGGGAGCGAACAGGAUUAGAUACCCUGGUAGUCCACGCCGUAAACGGUGGGUACUAGGUGUGGGUUUCCUUCCUUGGGAUCCGUGCCGUAGCUAACGCAUUAAGUACCCCGCCUGGGGAGUACGGCCGCAAGGCUAAAACUCAAAGAAAUUGACGGGGGCCCGCACAAGCGGCGGAGCAUGUGGAUUAAUUCGAUGCAACGCGAAGAACCUUACCUGGGUUUGACAUGCACAGGACGUGCCUAGAGAUAGGUAUUCCCUUGUGGCCUGU